rnacentral:rRNA from 1 species
GUCUACGGCCAUGCUACCCUGAAUAAGUCCAAUCCUGUCUGAUCUCAGAAGCUAAGCAGGGUCGGGCCUGGUUAGUACUUGAAUGGGAGGCCACCUAGGAAGACCAGGUGCUGUAGGCG